CUGGUUCUGGUUCUUUGUGGUCUUUAGGGUGGACAGGUGUUCACCUUUGGAGAGGGAAGCCGAGGCCAGCUUGGGCACAAUGCAUCAGCUAACGAACUCCUACCCAAACUGGUAGAGGGUAUGGAUGGACUGGCCUCACAGAUAGCAUGUGGCAGCCAUCACACCCUGGUGCUGGGGUCCUCAGGUCAACUCUGGGCCUUUGGCAGUGGGGUCAAAGGUCAGCUAGGGACUGGCAUUACGGAGGGCUGCUUGCGACCCACCCCAGUGCUGCUGAAAAGGGCUUCUGGUGGGGCAGCAACAGUCAUACAUAACGACAUGAAGAUAUCAGUGGGAUGGAAUUCAAACUUCAUUUACACCCCUGAGAGUUCUGAAAGAGAACAGCCAAUCGGGAGGUUAGAUAAAGCCAGGCUGCAAAAAUGGCUGACGAUGGAGCAAGGAAAUGCAGAGGCGCAAAGAGAAAUAUCCUUGAUGUUCUCAACAAGUUCAAGUCUUGUGGCCAGUUUCACCAAAGCCAGG
ensembl:lncRNA